rnacentral:rRNA from 1 species
CACCUUCGGUCGAAUCGGCAGGAUGGGACUGGGUACGCCGGUGGAGUCGCGUGCGCACCCGUGACAUCGGUUGAUGUCGGGCACACACGUAUAUGAACCAGAACCAGAAGGAGAAGAAGGGGCGCGCGAGGAGGGGGUAAGGGGGCCGCUGGUUGGGGCAGGAGGAGGAGGCCGGGUAGAGGCGGCGCUCGGAUUCUCGACUUGUUACCGCUUCUAGUUCGGUUUCCGUAACGACCGUGUCUCGUUCGUCUUCUUCCCGGGAUGAGUCUAGCCGGACCACUCCUAGUAGUGGAUGUAGCAGGAGCCGCGGGAUCGUCACAGGAGGCAAAUGAUACGGAUAGUCAUGACCGUCUCGUUUCCUCGCCGGCAACGCCGUCGUCGUCCUCGUCGUCUUCCGCAGCACCCCUUGAUUUCGGGGUCCUUGCAUCAACUAAAACGACGACAACAACAUAACAGAACAGUCAAAAAAGACCAACAGCGUCAGGCCAUUUAAACACCUUGUAACUGUCUCGUACGCUGCGAAUCACAUAGGGGGACAUUUAACGGAAUUGUAAAUACGAAUAUAAAGGAAGAAGCUGUACCUCAAGGCCAACAAGUCAACUAUCACAUGAGGAGACGAUGAGUGAUGAGUCUAUUUGUAUGCUCCCGUGUUUUUUGACAAGGGUUCACAUUGCACGUGUAGGACAUCGAUCACAAAGAAAAACCUCCUUUCGGACACCUUCAACUAUCACAAAGAAGGUUUUUCUUUGUGAUCGGAAACUCCCCAUAAGUAAAACGGAAUUUAAAAAAAUUAAUCAGGUUUAGUAAAGCG